AUUGAACGCUGGCGGCAGGCCUAACACAUGCAAGUCGAGCGCGCGGCGGACGGGUGAGUAAUGUCUGGGAAACAGCCCGAUGGAGGGGGAUAACGACUGGAAACGGUAGCUAAUACCGCAUACCAUCAGAUGUGCCCAGAUGGGAUUAGAUAGAAGUUGGGGUAAUGGCCCACCUAGGCGCCGAUCCCUAGAUGGUCUGAGAGGAUGACCAGCCACACUGGAACUGAGACACUGUCCUGACUCCUACGGGAGGCAGCAGUGGGGAAUAUUGUACAAUGGGCGCAAGCCUGAUGCAGCCAUGCCGCGUGUGUGAAGAAGGCCUUCGGGUUGUAAAGCACUUGCAGCGGGGAGGCGUUACCCGCAGAAGAAGCACCGGCUAACUCCGUGCCAGCAGCCGCGGUAAUAC
rnacentral:rRNA from 1 species